AGAGGAGAAGGAGGGAGAACUGAAGAGGAGGAGGAGGCAGCCAUGAUGGAGCAGAACCAUGUGGCCCGGAGGAACUAUCUACUUAUUCAUUGACCUGAGGUACUAAUGUCACCCGCCAAUAGCCAUCCAUUUGUUCAGCAGUAUCUAUGAAAAUGGGCAGUGAGUGUAUAUUCCAAUUAUUUGAUCUUGGUAAAUUUUAGUAUAAUUUUCAUUACCUUGUUUUUUCUAGGAUUUCAAUAGGUGUGAUAAGCCACUACAGCCAAAAGAAGCUUGAGAAAGAAAAGGUUUAUUUUUACCUUAUAGUUUGUAAGUCUAUUUCUUAGGAAGCCAUGGAGGAAUGGUGCUUACUGGCUUAUUCCCCAUGGCUUGCUAGGCCUGCUUUCUUCUAUUACUCAGAACCACCUGCGCAGAGAUGGUACACAGUGGACUGGGUCCUCCAACAUCAUCCACUAAUGAUGAACAUACCCUUUCUUACAGACAAAACGUAUGGAGCCACUUUCUCAAUAGAGUUUCUUCCCAAAUGACUGUAAAUUAACCAAGAUAAGGAGCUAGGAAAAAAAUUCCCACUCAACAUUAUUGAGAGGGUCUUACUGUAGAUUUGGCUGGCCUGAAAUUUGCUGCUGUAGACCAAGUUGGCUUCGUAUUAAGAGUAAGAGACCUUUCUACUUCUGUCUAUGGAGUGCUGGGAUUAAAGGUAAGUGCCAUUGCUCCUA
rnacentral:lncRNA from 1 species